rnacentral:tRNA from 1 species
AAGGAUAUAGUUAAUUAUAACAUUUGACCUGCAAUCAAAAAGUAUUGAAUAUACUCAAUUAUUCUUA